UUUGAACCUUUACAUGUCAAUUUAGUUUCUGUAACGUAAACAUCAUAAAAAUGAUUGUGUGUUGCUUACUGUACAUUUACUGGCAAAUUUUUCAUGCAUAUUUAGGACGAAAAAUUUAUAAAGAAGAAUGAUGUACAGAUACAGAAAUUUGUUAUUUUAGAACUCCAUAUUAACUUAAUGUUAUUUCUGUCAAUUUUUAUAAUAACAUUAACGGUCCAAUUUUAUUGCACAUGAUGCCAACAUACGAUCUUUCCCAUUUAUUCAUUCAAUUAUUAUGUACAUAAGGAAUACAUGAUAAUAUAGGAGUUUGCUUAUCAUAAGGAGUCUAAAAAGAACAGCAAAACUGUUCAGAUAAUUAAGGUAACAAUUGUCAGAAGGAGUGUGACAGGGUGCAUCGACAGAGGAAGUGGCUCCUGCUUUAAAAGCAUCAACCGCAAAGUGAAUCCACACUCAACAAAUGAAAAGUAAAAUAACAAAAAUACCGCACUCUAAUGAAAAUUCAAAACGGAAAGUCCAUUCUCAUAUGGCAAAUUCAAAAGCUCGAACACAUCAAACGAUGUAUGACAGUCGCAUAGAAUUCCAAAUUGACAAAAAUAUGUGAGCAAUGUGUGAGCAAAAUAAACAGACAUAAUAGAAAAUAAUACUUUCUAAAUGUCAUACGUCCGAAGCAUUUGUCUUAAAAGCCGAAUAUUUGAGAACUACAGAUGUAUAAGAACCAAAACCGUUGAAGAACAAUAUGACCAAAAAUGCCAAAAUCAUCUAAGGUAAAGUUUGUCGUUUAAGUUGUAUAUUAUAUUUGGUUUUCGUUUAUUGUUUUAUACAUAUAUCGUUGGUUUUCUCGUUUGAAUGGUUAUACAUUUGUCGGUUUUAUAGCUUGCUAUGAGGUGUGGGUUUUGCUCAUUGUUGAUGGCCCAUAGUAGCUAACUUUUUACGUCAUUUGGUUACUUAUGGAGAGUUGUCUUAUUGGCAAUCAUACCUAAUCUUCUUAUUUUUAUUUUCCUUGAGGGAGUUGAAACCUGGUCUCUUAGUAAUUUCUGAAUUUAAAAACGAACAAUUUAUGAAAGGUUUGUUAUAAAUCAUGUCAGUAUUUUAUUUUUUAAAGUACUGACUACUGAGCUGAUGAUACCCUCGUAAAAGGAUAGUCCGUCAGCAGCGGUAUCGACCCAGUCCUGUUAAAAAUGAAAUGUCACAAUCGGGAAUAAGAUACAAUCGGGAAAAGAUCAGACGUUGUUACUGGUACCUAAAGUUCUAAACCUGGGAAGAUAUGUCAAAGAUCAGACGUUUAUACUGGUACCUAAAGUUCUAAACCUGUGAAGAUAUGUCAAAGGUCAGACGUUUAUACUGGUACCUAAAGUUCUAAACCUGGGAAGAUAUGUCAAAGAUCAGACGUUUAUACUGGUACCUAAAGUUCUAAACCUGGGAAGAUAUGUCAAAGGUCAGACGUUUAUACUGGUACCUAAAGUUCUAAACCUGUGAAGAUAUGUCAAAGGUCAGACGUUUAUACUGGUACCUAAAGUUCUAAACCUGGGAAGAUAUGUCAAAGGUCAGACGUUUAUACUGGUACCUAAAGUUCUAAACCUGGGAAGAUAUG